UACGAAGGGGGGCUAGCGUUGCUCGGAAUCACUGGGCGUAAAGGGUGCGUAGGCGGGUCUUUUAAGUCAGGGGUGAAAUCCUGGAGCUCAACUCCAGAACUGCCUUUUGAUACUGAGGAUCUUGAAUUCGGGAGAGGGAUGCAGAAUUCCAGGUGUAGCGGUGAAAUGCGUAGAUAUCUGGAGGAAUACCGGUGGCGAAGGCGGCAUCCUGGACCAUUACUGACGCUGAUGCGCGAAAGCUAGGGGGAGCAAACGGGG
rnacentral:rRNA from 1 species